AAUCCUACUAAAACUCCGAAGAAAAAUGACACCGUCUGUUUCUAGGCAAACCUUAUUUUCUUCUUUCCCGCAUCCAUUCCUCUCCGGUCUCCACCUUUCUUCUUCCUUAUCAUGUGUGCCUAUUCCUAAUUCUUUUUCUUUUUCAAUAUAAAGUUUUCGACCUAAAUUUUUCUUGGUUCUCCUUUUUUUUUUUUUUUGCUCGGCUUUCUUCUCCAUUUCUUAAUUGGUGUUGAUUUUGUUUAUCUGUGGUUUUUGCAGAUGAGGGUUUAUGUCUGUUGUGUAAUGGAGAGAAAGAAAAACAAAAUAAAAAAUCUACGUAUUGGUAUUGCUAAAUCCUAGCCCGUUAUCUAUUUUUCUUCGCUUAUCUAUUUUUCUGAAUUUGUUGCUAAUCAGUUUUUUUGGUUUGAUGUUUAAGCUAAAGAUUUAACUGUUCUUUUAGUGUGUUUUGUUUUCUUCUCAUCCAGUUAUUGACAUAAGAAAAGAGCAGAUGUUAACCUAUCACUCCUCCCUUCCCUCCACUCUUUCCUCCUAAUACCAAAUCUCUGAGAAACCCUAUCGAAAAUUCUAAAGAAAAAUGGUCAAAAACGCGGAGAUAUACAACAUACUCCAACACCAUCACUAACAACAGAAAGAUUGGAAACCCUAGAUUGAUUACCUUUUAUCCACUUGCUAAAAGCCAAUCUCCAAGCCCUAAUCUCUUCUCUUCCCCUCCUCACUUCGCUCCCAAUUCUCUCUCAAAACUAAUCUCUCCAGCCACAAUCUCUACUUAUUUUUCUUCGGGGUGAGGUUUCUUAACAUGACCAUGCCAUCAACUGAUUUUUGAUUUAUCCCAUUAUGCUUAAAUUUUUCAUGCAAGGGUUAAUCUCUUUGCAGGAAAAGUGAUUUAGGGUCUAUUCGUUAUCUGUAUCGUUUUGUUUUGAUUUUGGGUUUCUUAUUUUUGGGUUUUCAGUUACAAGCGGAAGUAAGAUUAACCAAGAGAAAGCUAAUUUCUCUGUUCUCCUUCAAUGUCUCUCCUUCUUGCAACUUCUUUAAAUUUCUCUUGCUUUAUUCUUGACUAAAAAAUAAAAUGGACGCACAAUUGAGUUGUUGCGCAUGGGCUACUGUAGUUAUGAAGUUAUAUCUUACUUAGCUUUUGGUUCUAUAACUCCUACUGAUGUUUACGAAUUCAAGAUCCUUAAAAUUGUUAUUUAUUUAUUUUAUUUUUGGAAAAGAAGGGUGGUGGUUAUCGAGCAUUGAAUACUGCAUAUAUGCAAUUUACCAUAUUGUAAACAUUCCCUUAGAUAUGAAAGGCGCAUCGCGGCAAAGACGUGCAGGGCGUGAAAGCUGAUUUACACAACAGUUUCAAGUCUAAAAUGCAAAACAUUUUGUGUUUGUCCUAAGGUGAUACUAUGUCUCUUUGUUUCCUGAACUUUAAAACUUUUGAAGCUUAAUUUAGUUAGGUGGCUUUUUUUUGGCUUAUUAAAUGCCCAUUUUUGCUUCAGUAAUAAUUUUUGCACUCAUUGCUUCUGCAUAUGAUCACCGAUCAGCAUAUGUUUGUGUAUGCAUGACAUGCCACUGUGGAGGGGGUUAGUUAGACUCCUUUUUACCGGGAUGCAGAUUGCAUUCGUGGGAGUAUUUACGAUCUUCUAAUAUUUUUUAGCCACCGUGUGUGUGAAUUGCCAAUCUUUACAUCCAAUACCGUAAUGUUGUUUGGAUCAUGAACUAAAGCCCACGCUGUAUGUGCAUUUAAUUAUCGUUUUUCACUUUGAAUUGGAAAUCUUCAUCCAUCUCUUAAGUAGACCAACAUUCUGCCCAAGACUAACUGCAUUCUGGUCGGGGCUAACUGCAUUCUAUGGCUUCAUUUGUAAGGAUGCACAGGAACCGAGCCGGACUGACGGACCGUCCCGGAACCGUACCUGGUUUUGGACUAAACCGAGGAACGGGGUACAUGUACCGGUCCAAAAAAUAGGUAUCGAGGUCUGGGGGUACAGGUACACGGUCUAAUACAAGUACCGUGCCGUACCGGACCGAAAGUACCGAAUAGUAAGAGUCGUUAGAUUUAGGGGAUAAUAGAUCAGUAAUAGCCGUUAGAUUAGAGGGGGUAUAUAAGCGAACAUUACAGGGCUAGGGUUUCUCUUCUCAUUUUCCUUUGUUCUUUUUUUCCGUCUCCUCUCUGUCUGAGAAGGAGAAGUGAAGAACUCCAUUAACAGAGACGAGCGAGACUUCUGAAUCUUCUCUUCUCCAUUACUUACAACCUCUCGAUCCAGAACAAGAAGGAGAAAUUGUUAUCCAAAGGAUUUGUAAUUAAGAUAUCAAAACGAUUUCUUCCUUCUCUGCAAGAGUUGAUUGAUUUGGCUUGGAUUUGCUUUACUGGGUCCUAUCAAACAUAAUGCCACCACCAGUGCAGCCAUGGAAUAGAUCUCCACAACCACUUCACUACUAAUGCUACAACUUCAACUAACUUUCUAUUAGUUGUUAAGACAUUAAAACUUAAGAAUUAAGACUAUUAUAGUAUUGUAACUAUUGUUUGUGUUGGUCAGACAUCAGUGUGUGUGUUUGUGUGCUACUGGCUACUGCUACUUGUUAAGACUUUGGUUGUUUGUCAGUGCUACUUGUCGAGACUUUGGUUGUUUGGCACUUUGGUUUGCUAGUAUUAUUGGCUUAUUGCUACUUUUGGGUUGUUACUUUGUUCUUUGAUUGAGAUAUUUAAUAUAUUGAAAAACAGGU